GUGGGGAAUCUUCCGCAAUGGACGAAAGUCUGACGGAGCAACGCCGCGUGAACGAUGACGGCCUUCGGGUUGUAAAGUUCUGUUAUACGGGACGAAUGGUACGACGGUCAAUACCCGUCGUAAGUGACGGUACCGUAAGAGAAAGCCACGGCUAACUACGUGCCAGCAGCCGCGGUAAUACGUAGGUGGCAAGCGUUGUCCGGAAUUAUUGGGCGUAAAGGGCGCGCAGGCGGCGCCGUAAGUCGGUCUUAAAAGUGCGGGGCUUAACCCCGUGAGGGGACCGAAACUGCGAUGCUAGAGUAUCGGAGAGGAAAGCGGAAUUCCUAGUGUAGCGGUGAAAUGCGUAGAUAUUAGGAGGAACACCAGUGGCGAAAGCGGCUUGCUGGGCAGCAACUGACGCUGAGGCGCGAAAGCCAGGGGAGCAAACGGGAUUAGAUACCCUAGUAGUCC
rnacentral:rRNA from 1 species